UUGACAGCCCUGGAGACUGACGUCCUAAUGAUCCACAGAACAGGAGCACAUGGGCAUUUUCCUACCAAUGUGACUCAGUCUAGAGGUGCAGAGCCCAACUCUCAGAUUAGAUGGCAGUUCAGUAUAAAGCCUUCACAAACUGCCGUUAUU
ensembl:misc_RNA